GCCUGACUCCCGAGGCGGGGGAGCGCUCGGUGCAGGCACAGUAAUCGGUUACAGCUGCAGCUGUUGGUUCGGCUGGCCCAGGGUCAAGGCUCCAGCUCCUUGUGGUUUUGCAGCCGGGCUGGGCUGUAGCUCAGAGCUGCCUGGGUCUCUCCAGCCCGAUGUCUGGAACAGCCUGCCUGUCGAUCUGCGGAAAGAGCCUGGAACAGAUAAGCGCACUGCAGCGGCGGCUCUCGCCUGGGCUCGGUGCUGAGAAGAGGGGCCUGCUGCGGGAGGACCCACGCGCUCAGGUCCCAGGCAUCGCCGCAGCAGCAGGCCUAUCCAAGCGCCCGGCUCGUUCCUCCUGCAGUGACCUCUCAGGCUUCACCUGCGCACUGCGCACCCGGCGGCAGCGACCGCACUUCCGUACGGGGACACAGUGUCGCCAAGCCCCCAGCCCUGGGCCCGCGGCUGCCUCCCUGCAAAGCAUGGCUUGAUGAGCAUUGCAUACAUCCACACCUGGGAUCUGAACUUGCAAACCCUGGGCCCUGAAGCAGAGUGGGAGAAUGCAACCACUACUGGGCCACCACCAGAAUCUGUCUUUUUAAUCAGUGUCUCAGCUGACUCUUCUGCACCACUGCUGUGGGGGUUGCUAGAGACACAAAUAUGUUUAAAUACAAGAGAGUUCACAGCACGGGGGAGGCACUUCAAGAAGCAGCAUCAGUCAAUAUUCCCAGUGGGGUCUGGACCAAGCUAAGCGACGGCUCUUCUUGGGAGAUCUGUCGUCGCAUGAGACGGUGGGAUUUGUGCCUGGGGCGCGGCUCUUCUGCCUUUUUCUGCUCCCCCAGAACUCAGCUGUUCCUUCAGCCCUCAGCAGCAGGAAGGUGGAAGGUUCCAGUUUCCAGGUGCGGGAUUUCUUAGCGGCCUACGUCCAGCCCCCUUUCUCUGAGACGGCCCCAGCCAGCCCUGUCUCAGCCAGCAUCUUGGAGAGGCAGGAGAAGGCAAAGUCACGUGGGCCCUGGAGAUCCUCGGG
rnacentral:lncRNA from 1 species